rnacentral:rRNA from 1 species
CGAUGAUGCCCACUUGUGGGUGGAUUAGUGGCGAACGGGUGAGUAACACGUGAGUAACCUGCCCUUAACUCUGGGAUAAGCCUGGGAAACUGGGUCUAAUACCGGAUAUGACUCCUCAUCGCAUGGUGGGGGGUGGAAAGCUUUUUUGUGGUUUUGGAUGGACUCGCGGCCUAUCAGCUUGUUGGUGAGGUAAUGGCUCACCAAGGCGACGACGGGUAGCCGGCCUGAGAGGGUGACCGGCCACACUGGGACUGAGACACGGCCCAGACUCCUACGGGAGGCAGCAGUGGGGAAUAUUGCACAAUGGGCGCAAGCCUGAUGCAGCGACGCCGCGUGAGGGAUGACGGCCUUCGGGUUGUAAACCUCUUUCAGUAGGGAAGAAGCGAAAGUGACGGUACCUGCAGAAGAAGCGCCGGCUAACUACGUGCCAGCAGCCGCGGUAAUACGUAGGGCGCAAGCGUUAUCCGGAAUUAUUGGGCGUAAAGAGCUCGUAGGCGGUUUGUCGCGUCUGCCGUGAAAGUCCGGGGCUCAACUCCGGAUCUGCGGUGGGUACGGGCAGACUAGAGUGAUGUAGGGGAGACUGGAAUUCCUGGUGUAGCGGUGAAAUGCGCAGAUAUCAGGAGGAACACCGAUGGCGAAGGCAGGUCUCUGGGCAUUAACUGACGCUGAGGAGCGAAAGCAUGGGGAGCGAACAGGAUUAGAUACCCUGGUAGUCCAUGCCGUAAACGUUGGGCACUAGGUGUGGGGGACAUUCCACGUUUUCCGCGCCGUAGCUAACGCAUUAAGUGCCCCGCCUGGGGAGUACGGCCGCAAGGCUAAAACUCAAAGGAAUUGACG